AAAAAAUUAGUUAAUUUAUAACAUUAGUUUGUCAAACUAAAAUCAUCAGCCCCCCCUGAUAUUUUUUA
rnacentral:tRNA from 1 species